AGUGAACGCUGGCGGUAGGCCUAACACAUGCAAGUCGAACGGCAGCACAGUAAGAGCUUGCUCUUACGGGUGGCGAGUGGCGGACGGGUGAGGCAUACAUCGGAAUCUACUUUUUCGUGGGGGAUAACGUAGGGAAACUUACGCUAAUACCGCAUACGACCUACGGCUGAAAGCAGGGGAUCUUCGGACCUUGCGCGAUUGAAUGAGCCGAUGUCGGAUUAGCUAGUUGGCGGGGUAAAGGCCCACCAAGGCGACGAUCCGUAGCUGGUCUGAGAGGAUGAUCAGCCACACUGGAACUGAGACACGGUCCAGACUCCUACGGGAGGCAGCAGUGGGGAAUAUUGGACAAAGGGCGCAAGCCUGAUCCAGCCAUACCGCGUGGGUGAAGAAGGUCUUCGGGCCGUAAAGCCCUUUUGUUGGGAAAGAAAAGCAGCAGGUUAAUACCCCGCUGUUCUGACGGUACCCAAAGAAUAAGCACCGGCUAACUUCGUG
rnacentral:rRNA from 1 species